UCCCUGGUGGUCCAGUGGUUAAGACUCCAUGCUCGCAAUGCAUGGGGCCCUGGUUCGAUCCCUGGUCAGGGAA